UUACGGCCAUACCCCGUUGAAACAGCGGUUCUCGUACGAUCAACGAAGUUAAAUAAAAUCAGUAAAUCCUGGUCAGUAUCUAGAUGGGUGACCUCUUGGGAAUAUCAGGUGCUGUAAG